CAGUAGCCGCGGGAAUACGGAGGGUGCAAGCGUUACUCGGAAUUACUGGGCGUAAAGCGUGCGUAGGUGGUGGUUUAAGUCCGUUGUGAAAGCCCUGGGCUCAACCUGGGAAUUGCAGUGGAUACUGGGUCACUAGAGUGUGGUAGAGGAUAGUGGAAUUUCCGGUGUAGCAGUGAAAUGCGUAGAGAUCUGGAGGAAUACCGGUGGCGAAGGCGGCCCCCUGGACAAAGACUGACACUCAGGUGCGAAAGCGUGGGGAGCAAACAGGAUUAGAUACCCCAGUAGUCCCUGUCUCUUAUAA
rnacentral:rRNA from 1 species